rnacentral:rRNA from 1 species
AGACGGAGGGUGCAAGCGUUAAUCGGAAUUACUGGGCGUAAAGCGCUCGUAGGCGGCUUGUUAAGUCGGAUGUGAAAGCCCCGGGCUCAACCUGGGAACUGCAUUCGAUACUGGCAAGCUAGAGUAUAGUAGAGGCAAGUGGAAUUCCGGGUGUAGCGGUGAAAUGCGUAGAUAUCCGGAGGAACAUCAGUGGCGAAGGCGACUUGCUGGACUAAUACUGACGCUGAGGAGCGAAAGCGUGGGGAGCAAACGGGAUUAGAAACCCCAGUAGUCC